rnacentral:rRNA from 1 species
GAUCCUGGCUCAGGAUGAACGCUGGCGGCAUGCCUAAGACAUGCAAGUCGUACGAAGCGGCCCAAUGAUUUAUUUAGAAACACUGAGAGCUUGCUCAAAGUGUGGAAAAAUAAUGAUUUGGAUUUUCCGCUUAGUGGCAAACGGGUGAGUAACACGUGGGUUACCUACCUCCUAGAUGGGGAUACCAAUUGGAAACGAUUGUUAAUACCGAAUGUGAUCUAUGGAUUAAAGAAGCCUUUAAAGCUUCG